AUGCUGACAAAAAUAGUAAUGUAUAUUCCUGACCCUUUUAUUCUGAAAACCUACAAACGGAAGUACUAGUUCACCCAGUUGAAACUACAAACUGCAUAGUGUUAAAGUAGCGGUGGACAGUCAGCCUACGUACAUACUUUUAGUUACACAAUGGUGAAUGUUUUCCUACCCUGGAUAUCUCUGCUCCAGUGUACAAAAUAAAGGAAUCACCUUAUGACUGAGGACAUUGGAGCGCCUAAGUAGAAAUUACAUGGCCUGCUGCCUUCCUGUAAAUUAUGAUUGCUUGCCAGCUCCAAAAGAGACAGUUAAUACUUAAAUAGCAGUGUGUAAAGCAAUAUGAGUGACUUAACAGAGUUUGAACGAUGCCAAAUAGUCGCUGCGCGGCUGUCAGGGGCGUCUGUCACAAAAACUGCACAGCUUUUUAACGUGGCAAGGGGAACAGUCUCCAGAGUCAUGACUGUGUACAUCAAACAUGGACGAACAGCAUCAGCGAAGAAGAACAGUGGGCGCAAGUCAAAGCUCACCGAAAAGGACAGGCAGAGACUUCUCAGGAUAGUCGAUGAACACCCUGAGUACACAGCCUCAAAAAUAACCACAGAGUUGAAUGGACACCUCUCUCACACCGUCUCAGUCAAAACUAUACGGCGUGAGCUUCACAAAGCUGGCAUUUUUAGAGGAGCAGCCAGUCGGAAACCAGAAACUGAGACUGACACACAAAAGCCAGAUGGAAAGCACACCAAACCUAAACCUGGAAAAGAGGGUGACACACAAAAACAUAGCGACGAGAGCACAAGACCUGAAAUGCAAACAAAUGACAAAGAGUGUUGCACACAAAAGCCUGUGGGAGACAAAACAUUACCUGAACCCCGGGUUAGUGUCGAAGAGUACAACACAGAAAAAUCUGAAGAGAGAAUACAACCUGAAUACCAAGUCAGUUAAGAGGAGUACAUCACACAAAAGCCUGGUGCACCUGAGAGCACCGAACCUAAACCUCACACCAGUGAAAAGGAAUAACCAGUUGUAUUUUCAGCCUUUCUUAUAUAUCCAGAUUGGUCAUAUUAAUAAUGGAAACCACCAGAAUGCAUUCCAUUAAUGUUGCCCACUGUUCAACGUGACCAUGGAUUUCUGUUUCAAGAUUUUAUUUAUUUUGCCUGAAUUUAAGAGUGCAAAAUUCCAGCAUAUGCCAAGCAUUGUUUUUUUGUGUGGUUUGUGAGGAAACAUAACUUAAUAACGAUAGACUAAAAAGUGAAAAAUGUCCAAACUGUAAAUGAUACUGUUUGUUCCUGAUUUGUUGACAAAUGUCAUGCUGAAAUAAUUGUCUGUGUUGUACUGUAAAGCAUGGCCUUUUUGAGGUUAUUUUUAUAUAUAUAUAAUGGAUAAGGUGCGAAACCAAGCAGCAACCAUAAUCCCAUAAGAGUCUUAAAAAAUAAAGUUCCUCUACUGCCAUUAUAAAAAAAACACUUAUUGAAAUACAAAGUCUUUUUUUCAUUCCUGAGAUGUCAGGUUCUUAGUUGGAUAUCUCCUUAAUGUGUCUUCUAAUGAUUGUGAAUUGAAUAUGUGUUUUGUGGCUACAGCUUCUCAGGUUAUCGUGCUCACCUGGUUGUUGGUUUACUACGAAGGUAUAGCGUGACAAUGGAUGACCCCAACGUAAGAUAUCUGUAUUAUCAACUUCCAUGCUACCUUUGCUUUUGUAAACCAAAUUUCAUGUUUUGUAGCACCUUCAUUCAGGAAUGGGGGGCAGCAUUUAGUGUCUAUGGUUUUUGCUUCUGGAAUAGCCAAGAGUUGAGGGAGUUACAAUCUGUAAAUACCUUUAAAAGGAACCCGAAAACUUACCUUUUCAGUUUAGCAUUCUCUUAACUGUCCAUUUUUUAUUUAAUUUCCUUGUGUUGUAUAUUUGUUGUAUCGUUAAGCACUUUGU